CACCGGCAGCUCUAGUGGUAGCAGUUUUUAUUGGGCCUAAAGCGUCCGUAGCCGGUUUAAUAAGUCUCUGGUGAAAUCCUGUAGCUUAACUGUGGGAAUUGCUGGAGAUACUAUUAGACUUGAGACCGGGAGAGGUUAGAGGUACUCCCAGGGUAGAGGCGAAAUUCUGUAAUCCUGGGAGGACCGCCUGUUGCGAAGGCGUCUAACUGGAACGGUUCUGACGGUGAGGGACGAAAGUUAGGGGCGCGAACCGGAUUAGAUACCCGGGUAGUCCUAACUGUAAACGAUGCGGACUUGGUGUUGGGGUGGCUUUGAGCUGCUCCAGUGCCGAAGGGAAGCUGUUAAGUCCGCCGCCUGGGAAGUACGGUCGCAAGACUGAAACUUAA
rnacentral:rRNA from 1 species